rnacentral:tRNA from 1 species
GAGGGUGUAGCUCCGUGGUAGAGCGCUUGCUUAGCAUGCACAGGGUCCUGGGUUCAAUCCCCAGCACCUCCA